rnacentral:rRNA from 1 species
UAAAUUUAUGUCUUAUUUAGUUGGGGUGAUUGGAAAAUUGUUAAAACUUUUCUUUUUUUAUAACAUUUAUUUAUGAGUAUUUGAUCCUUGGUUUGAGAUUAUAAGAUUAAAUUACCUUAGGGAUAACAGCGUAAUCCUUUUUUAGAGUUCAUAUCGAAAUUAGAGUUUGCGACCUCGAUGUUGGAUUAAAAUUUACUUUUGGUGCAGAAGCUUUAAAGUUAAGUCUGUUCGACUUUUAAAAUUUUACAUGAUCUGAGUUUAGACCGGCGUGAGCCAGGUUGGUUUCUAUCUUUAUUUUAUUAAUAUAUUUUAGUACGAAAGGACCAUUUAUAUAUAUAAUAUAUUUAUUUUUUGAUUAUUAUU